rnacentral:rRNA from 1 species
GACGAACGCUGGCGGCGUGCUUAACACAUGCAAGUCGAACGGUGAAGCGCCUUCCUUUUUGGUGGGUGUGGAUGAGUGGCGAACGGGUGAGUAACACGUGAGUAACCUGCCCCCUUCUUCUGGAUAACCGCAUGAAAGUGUGGCUAAUACGGGAUAUUCUGGGUCUGUCGCAUGAUGGGUCUGGGAAAGAUAUUGUUUCGGUGGGGGAUGGGCUCGCGGCCUAUCAGCUUGUUGGUGGGGUGAUGGCCUACCAAGGCGGUGACGGGUAGCCAGCCUGAGAGGGUCGACGGCCACACUGGGACUGAGACACGGACCAGACUCCUACGGGAGGCAGCAGUGGGGAAUAUUGCACAAUGGGCGCAAGCCUGAUGCAGCGACGCCGCGUGAGGGAUGGAGGCCUGCGGGUUGUGAACCUCUUUCGCCAGUGAAGCAGGCCUGCCUCGUUUGUGGGUGGGUUGACGGUAGCUGGAGAAGAAGCGCCGGCUAACUACGUG